rnacentral:SRP_RNA from 1 species
GCUGGGUGUGGUGGCGUGUGCCUGUAGUCCCAGCUAUUUGGGAGGCUGAGGCUGGAGGAUCUCUUGAAUCCAGGAGUUCUGGGUUGUAGUGCGCUAUGCCAGUCGGGUGUCCGCACUAAGUUCGCCAUCAAUACGGUGACCUCCUGGGAGCGGGGGACCACCAGGUUGCCUAAGGAGGGGUGAACUGGCCCAGGUCAGAAACAGAGCAGGUCAAAACUCCUCUGCUGAUGAGUGGUGGGAUCGCACCUAUGAAUAGCCACUGCACUCCAGCCUGGGCAACAUAGUGAGACCCCGUCUCU